rnacentral:rRNA from 1 species
CACGUAGUUAGCCGGGGCUUCUUAGUCAGGUACCGUCAUUUUCUUCCCUGCUGAUAGAGCUUUACAUACCGAAAUACUUCUUCACUCACGCGGCGUCGCUGCAUCAGGGUUCCCCCCAUUGUGCAAUAUUCCCCACUGCUGCCUCCCGUAGGAGUUUGGGCCGUGUCUCAGUCCCAAUGUGGCCGGUCACCCUCUCAGGCCGGCUACUGAUCGUCGCCUUGGUGGGCCUCUACCCCGCCAACUAGCUAAUCAGACGCGGGUCCAUCGUAUACCGUUUACGCUUUUCACACUGCUCCAUGCGGAGCUGUGCGCUUAUGCGGUAUUAGCACCUAUUUCUAAGUGUUAUCCCCCUGUAUACGGCAGGUUACCCACGCGUUACUCACCCGUCCGCCACUAAACAAAAUCACUAGGUUUCAUUCUGUUCCCGUUCGACUUGCAUGUGUUAGGCACGCCGCCAGCGUUCAUCCUGAGCCAGGAUCAAACUCU